UAGGACUACUUAUUUUAGGAAAAAAAUAUAGGAAGUAGAGUAGUUUAUUUUUAUUUAGUAGUUUUAUAUGAUUUAUGAUUCCUAGCUAAAGUUGGAAUUAGGAUUCUUAAUCCUAAUGUAAUUAGUGUUACAAAAGCUCUAUAAAUAGGGCUUAGUUUGUCUACUUAUUUACACAGUUUACUAUGAUUAUUGACUAUUGAUUUUG
rnacentral:misc_RNA from 1 species